CUGCAAUAGGGAUAGAAGCGGCAUCCUUUUGCGGAGCGCAGCGGAGCAAAAGAUAUAGCGGAUAGCCCGACCCGAG
rnacentral:sRNA from 1 species